GAGGUCAAGUGGGGGAACCCCGAGAAUCGGAGCUAAUACCGCGUGAGCUCGCCCGAGACAUACGGGUGAGGAAAGCUCGGAAGGGCGCAUUUGGAGGGGCUUGCGGCCCAUCAGGUAGUUGGUGAGGUAAAGGCCCACCAAGCCGUUGACGGGUAGCUGGUCUGAGAGGAUGAUCAGCCAGACUGGGACUGAGACACGGCCCAGACUCCUACGGGAGGCAGCAGUUGGGAAUCUUGCGCAAUGGGCGAAAGCCUGACGCAGCGACGCCGCGUGGGGGAAGAAGGUCUUCGGAUUGUAAACCCCUUUUGUCGGGGAAGAUACAAGACGGUACCCGGCGAAUAAGCCCCGGCUAACUACGUGCCAGCAGCCGCGGUAAUACGUAGGGGGCGAGCGUUGUCCGGAUUUACUGGGCGUAAAGAGCGCGUAGGCGGCUCGUUAAGUUGGCUGUGAAAGUCCUCGGCUUAACCGGGGAGAGUCGGCCAAAACUGGCGGGCUUGAGGACGGUAGAGGAAGGUGGAAUUCCUGGUGUAGUGGUGAAAUGCGUAGAUAUCAGGAGGAACACCGGUGGCGAAGGCGGCCUUCUAGGCCGUUCCUGACGCUGAGGCGCGAAAGCGUGGGGAGCGAACUGAAUUAGAUACUCAGGUAGUCCACGCUGUAAACAAUGGACGCUAGGCGUGGGGGGUAUCGACCCCUCCCGUGCCGAAGCUAACGCAUUAAGCGUCCCGCCUGGGGAGUACGGCCGCAAGGCUAAAACUCAAAGGAAUUGGCGGGGGAGCAC
rnacentral:rRNA from 1 species